rnacentral:rRNA from 1 species
GUAGUCAUAUGCUUGUCUCAAAGAUUAAGCCAUGCAUGUCUAAGUAUAAGCAAUUAUACAGCGAAACUGCGAAUGGCUCAUUAUAUAAGUUAUCGUUUAUUUGAUAGUACCUUACUACUUGGAUAACCGUGGUAAUUCUAGAGCUAAUACAUGCUAAAAAUCCCGACUUCGGAAGGGAUGUAUUUAUUAGAUUAAAAACCAAUGCCCUCCGGGGCUCACUGGUGACUCAUGAUAACUUCUCGAAUCGCAUGGCCUUGCGCCGGCGAUGGUUCAUUCAAAUUUCUUCCCUAUCAACUUUCGAUGUUUGGGUAUUGGCCAAACAUGGUUGCAACGGGUAACGGGGAAU